GACGAACGCUGGCGGCGUGCUUGACACAUGCAAGUCGAACGGAAAGGCCCUGCUUUUGUGGGGUGCUCGAGUGGCGAACGGGUGAGUAACACGUGAGUAACCUGCCCUUGACUUUGGGAUAACUUCAGGAAACUGGGGCUAAUACCGGAUAGGAGCUCCUGCUGCAUGGUGGGGGUUGGAAAGUUUCGGCGGUUGGGGAUGGACUCGCGGCUUAUCAGCUUGUUGGUGGGGUAGUGGCUUACCAAGGCUUUGACGGGUAGCCGGCCUGAGAGGGUGACCGGCCACAUUGGGACUGAGAUACGGCCCAGACUCCUACGGGAGGCAGCAGCGGGGAAUAUUGCACAAUGGGCGGAAGCCUGAUGCAGCAACGCCGCGUGCGGGAUGACGGCCUUCGGGUUGUAAACCGCUUUCGCCUGUGACGAAGCGUGAGUGACGGUAAUGGGUAAAGAAGCACCGGCUAACUACGUGCCAGCAGCCGCGGUGAUACGUAGGGUGCGAGCGUUGUCCGGAUUUAUUGGGCGUAAAGGGCUCGUAGGUGGUUGAUCGCGUCGGAAGUGUAAUCUUGGGGCUUAACCCUGAGCGUGCUUUCGAUACGGGUUGACUUGAGGAAGGUAGGGGAGAAUGGAAUUCCUGGUGGAGCGGUGGAAUGCGCAGAUAUCAGGAGGAACACCAGUGGCGAAGGCGGUUCUCUGGGCCUUUCCUGACGCUGAGGAGCGAAAGCGUGGGGAGCGAACAGGCUUAGAUACCCUGGUAGUCCACGCUGUAAACGGUGGGUACUAGGUGUGGGGUCCAUUCCACGGGUUCCGUGCCGUAGCUAACGCUUUAAGUACCCCGCCUGGGGAGUACGGCCGCAAGGCUAAAACUCAAAGGAAUUGACGGGGCCCCGCCCAAGCGGCGGAGCAUGCGGAUUAAUUCGAUGCAACGCGUAGAACCUUACCUGGGUUUGACAUGGAUCGGGAGUGCUCAGAGAUGGGUGUGCCUCUUUUGGGGUCGGUUCACAGGUGGUGCGUGGCUGUCGUCAGCUCGUGUCGUGAGAUGUUGGGUUAAGUCCCGCAACGAGCGCAACCCUUGUUCACUGUUGCCAGCACGUUAUGGUGGGGACUCAGUGGAGACCGCCGGGGUCAACUCGGAGGAAGGUGGGGAUGACGUCAAGUCAUCAUGCCCCUUAUGUCCAGGGCUUCACGCAUGCUACAAUGGCUGGUACAGAGAGUGGCGAGCCUGUGAGGGUGAGCGAAUCUCGGAAAGCCGGUCUCAGUUCGGAUUGGGGUCUGCAACUCGACCUCAUGAAGUCGGAGUCGCUAGUAAUCGCAGAUCAGCAACGCUGCGGUGAAUACGUUCCCGGGGCU
rnacentral:rRNA from 1 species